CCUCUUUUCUGGUGCUGCGCUAGUGGGUCUGUUUCCGUGUCCCGCCUCCUGACUCUGGCUAGCUGUUUGGUCGCCUGUCCGAGAAUCACACAUAUGUUUGAAACGAAACUGGGAUCGCACUGUAGAAACUGUUUUGCAGUUUUCUGCUUUCAUUCUUGGCUAAUUACGAAUGUCCACACAUCGUUCAGAGUGCUCAUCUACAAUGUUACCUGUAAUGGCAGAGUGCUGUGUUUUGUUUAACCUAUUGUUUAGCUCUGGUUAGACAUUAAUCCUUGCUUCCUCCUUCCUUUAUGAUGAACAUUCUUAUGGUUAAAUCUUUGUGCAUGUUCACAAAAAUUCCUUAUUACAAAUCCCUAGAUGUGGAAUUGCCGAGUCAAUGAAUAUAGUCACUGAUGCUUCUUGUA